AAUUAAUGAACUUGAAUAAGUAUAUGUUUUGAAAACAUACUAUAGUAAAUAAUUUACUAUUAAUUU
rnacentral:tRNA from 1 species